rnacentral:rRNA from 1 species
CCUACGGGAGGCUGCAGUGGGGAAUAUUGGACAAUGGGGGCAACCCUGAUCCAGCCAUGCCGCGUGUGUGAAGAAGGCCCUCGGGUUGUAAAGCACUUUCAGUGAGGAAGAACGCCUGGUGGUUAAUACCCAUCAGGAAAGACAUCACUCACAGAAGAAGCACCGGCUAACUCCGUGCCAGUAGCCGCGGUAAUACGGAGGGUGCGAGCGUUAAUCGGAAUUACUGGGCGUAAAGCGCGCGUAGGUGGCUUGAUAAGCCGGUUGUGAAAGCCCCGGGCUCAACCUGGGAACGGCAUCCGGAACUGUCAAGCUAGAGUGCAGGAGAGGAAGGUAGAAUUCCCGGUGUAGCGGUGAAAUGCGUAGAGAUCGGGAGGAAUACCAGUGGCGAAGGCGGCCUUCUGGACUGACACUGACACUGAGGUGCGAAAGCGUGGGUAGCAAACAGGAUUAGAUACCCGUGUAGUC